UGACACCAUUGUGUAGAUUUGACACUGAU
rnacentral:piRNA from 1 species